GAUGAAGGAAAAGAUGAAAAGCAAAAGGAGAACAUAGCAGAGGAUGCUAGAACUGGGAGAUCUGGUGCACGGUAUUUAAGAUUUUCCUCAGUUGGGAGGCUGGGGCAGGAGGAUCGCUGUGAGUAGGAGGCCAACCUUGGCUACAAGCUGCAAGUGACAAAAUCUAAUUCAAACUGACUUAGACAAAAGGAGAAUUUGCUAGCACAAGUUACUGGGAAACUAGAGGCACAGAUGCCGGUUUUGGGGACUCAGCUGAUAUUGACAGAGGCAUCACUUCAUCUCCCAGCUUACUUUCCACUGUGCUGGCUUAAUUCUCAGAUUCCUGGGACAGCCCCAGAACUGGCCUCUGAGGAAAAUGCUUCUGCAAUUGCCCCACCAUGCCCUGGAGAGAACCGCUGUCAUUCCGCCUCUUCCACCUCCGAGGCAGCCUUGGCGCCGCUAGGAACUGUGCUGUCAUCCCUCGCUCACUGAAGCCCAGCAGCCUUUGCACCUGCGCAUCAGAAAUUCCACCUGGCAGCUUAUUUAAAAAUUGAUCCAUAAAUACAUAUUUACAAGUUAUGUUUCUAAAUGUUAAGAUGUUAAUGUUAAGAAAACCUCCUCCAUUCUUUUUCCACACGUCAGAAUACUUUGAGGUCAAUCAGAUGGUGUCCAAAUGGAUUCUAAGUUAGUGAGCACAACCAACCUAGUGUGAAAAAUCUAUUUUAAAUCUUAACACACAUAGUUAAAAAACAACAUUGCAACAAGGACUUUCUACUUUGACCAAAACUUUAGUCAGGCUUCUCUGAAUUUUCUGCUUGAUUAAGUCUGUCUUUGGGAUUCCUUCCCCGUCCUUACAGAAAGCUGUCUGAGCAAGAAUCCUGCUGAGACAUUUUACAGAAGAUCCUCCACACCUGCUGUCCCUCUCAUCUUCUUCCGGCAAUAAUUCCAUUAAACUGAUUUAACCGGAACCCCUUAUCUGGAUUUUUCAACAUAUCCAUUCUGCUCAUAUGUAAUAAAUCCCACUUGUCCUUGUUGCAGUCAGAGUUGCGUCCCAGUCCACUCUCUUGCUGCACUGCCCUAUGCAAGAUAUUGGCUUGGCUGCCUCCCCUUUCAGAAAAGUCCACCCUACUGUCUUUCACCAUCAUCAUGAAUGAGCUUUUCUUUAAUAAUAGUAACCUAUAAUGUAUGAGCUAAUUACAAGGUUGUAAGUCAACAGUUCUGUACAAAUAUGAAAAACAACUCUAACUCUUCACAUACAAGAAGAAAGCUUUGUCACUGGAAACAAACCUAGGAAGACAUUUGAAC